rnacentral:lncRNA from 1 species
CUGCAGCAUUGGACCAAGUUAUCGCCUGCCAACGCACAGAGCUGGUCGACGGUGAGCGCGAUGCUUCUGAAUUCCGGCUCCGGAAGGGCUGUUACGGAACCGCGCAUGCCCUGAUUGUUCACGCCCUUCCCCACGCUCACCGUUGAUGCCGAUCUUAAUCUUGCCACUCUCAGCACGGAUGCAUGGCACCACCACACGCGAGCGGUUGGGGCGGCCAGCACGCGCGGAGGCGUUCACAGAGCGCUGGGCGAGGAGGGCCAUCGUGACUGUUGGAGGAACAGCUGCAGGACACAGGAGUAGUUUGGCCGGCUAAAUGCAGUCGGUUGAGUAAUCCUAUUGUUGAUAGUAAUACUGGCUGAGGCAAUGGACUUGGAUUAAAUGCUCGGCUGGCCAAGCUUCGAUUCCGGGAUGACCUCAUUCCGGCGGAACCUGCCGUUUAUGGAAGACACCCACCGACCCAGACUCGUCAUCGAGGGAAAUGCCCUAAAUGCACUAAAGGACAUACUCCUAGCUUCCAAGUGUGCAAAAGCUGUCGACGGUUAGUCGCCGAAAGGCAAUCGCGGGGUAUCGCUUUUUGUGGUUGACUCGCCAAAGCUGGCUCCGUAAAAUAUAACGCGCUCAUGUAGGCGUCUUAAAGAAGCUCAAAUAGGUAUCGGCAACGAGUUGUUGCUAGUGGCAGUAGCGACCCCCGUGGGCGUGCCGCAGCGGCAGUGGCGCCCGGGUGAUCCUUGCUCAGCGGGCCUCUCAGCGUUGAUUUCAUGCGCAUUUGUACUGGGCCGCUUUGUACGACUGUGUGAAUUACGCAACCUUCGGCCGUCCGCACGGCACGGGCCUGCAGCUGCCCGCGGGCGCUCUGGCGAUGGUGAGCGAAGCCGCUCAGGAGUGUUUUGCUUGCACGCGAUUGCUGGGGGUUAUGAGAUCUUGCCAGUCGGGUCGCAAGUAACGUGACAUGAUUGGAUUAGCGGCUGGUUCGCUUGACGGGGUGGGUGCCGGCAAUUCAGGGGUACAUCACAAGUGCCAAAGCCUUGCCACAAUGCCGCUGCUGCUGCUGCAGCUGUUGCCCACAAGCGCCGUUGCACCAGCACAUCGGCAGUACUGUACACAUACGGUACAGAGAGACUGAGGGAGUUCGUACAUGCAAACAGGAGCGUAUGGAUGGCACGUGCUGUAGAGGUGUGGGCGCGGACGUGGCGGCCAUGCGGGCGGGGGGAUGACUGCAGCAGCCGCACAGCAGGUGACACAUUGUGAUAGGCUUCGUGCACACAUGGUAGCACCAUGCGCAAGGUUUGCUGCGCUGAUUACGUAUAGCAUUACGGUGGCACCGGCACUGUGAGCGGCACCGCUGGCUGUCACCGCCGUGUGUGUUGUCAUGUGUCAGUCGGCUGCCGUAUUAUCAUUGUUUUCCCGAGGUUUUCCUAGGGCUUCAAGUCGUGCUUCACAACCUUGCGCUUCAACUAGGAAUAGGAUUCAGACUGGGACUGGCGCAUGGUGUUGGGUGUCCGACCGGGCCACCGGGGUACCUGACAGGGCCGCUCGAGGACCCGCCUUCCUGACUGGGCCGCCCAUGCGUGCAUACCGGAACCCACCGCACGUGCCCCGCUUAUGCAGGUAGGCGCAUGCUGACUGUACAUGCAGCACACCAUGGCGCUCCAGCAGCAUCGUGGUGACACGAGCUGCACCCGGCUUGCGGCGCUGGCUCUUCCAGGACGGCUUACCACUAUGCAGGCGCCCGGCGGUUGGCUGGCGCUUCGCCCUGUCACUAGCAACCUUGUUCGCCGCUUUAAUGGCCGUGGUCGGGUGAUAUCGUGUGUGCGGCACGGCGCAACUACUUAGGCCCCCGAGUGCACCGGGGCGUGCCGCUGAUGACCGGUGCCCGCGUGCUGGUAUUGCUGUCAGCAAUUUGUCAUCCCCUGCAUGGCGGCGGGCUGCAUGGGCGUUGUGUAGCGGAGUUCUGAGGAGAUUGCAUUGGUUACAAGAGGGACCUUCUGACGCAGUUCACGAGCCAGUGACGUGGAGAACGAACACCCUGCUCUGGACCCACGCCGUCGGCCUACUCUAGCUCUAGUAGGCUUGCUCCCAUAGGACGCUCCUCCCGUCAUACCGAACAUGUUACUAGGUGCCAUCACUCCACCUCCUCUUCCAUUAUGACACUUCGGUUCUGAGGAGUUGUGCCAGACCGGCCAUGGCGCAUGGCACCUUCCUUACAGCUGCGCGGGCCUAGCGCUUGGUGUGGCCGUCAUCGGGAUGGAUAAACAGCCAGCAGCAUGGAGCUGAUCGGCACGAUCGCACUAGGGAGGGUUGGGGCUGAGCCGGACUUAAGCCUUGACCUUAACUGGGCGGUAUGCAGCUGUCACCGUCGUGUCCGCGCCCUCACUCCUCAGCGACCCGCGGCCAACGCCAGGUAGGGGAGUGAGGAGGCCGCCUCCGGAGUCUGCUAGCGGAGAAGGGAUGCAGUGAUAUGGGGGCUACAUGCGUCUUCGGGCGGAGCCAGAGCCGGGCAGAGAGGGUUCCAGCGGUCUACGAGCGCGUGCCGCAGUGCUCGUGCCAGCAGUUUCCGGGAUUCGUGCGGCCGAAUUGCACGCUGCGUCGCUUCCGGGCUAUAUAGAAUGACUGCUUAAUAUGGGCCAUAUGCAACUGCAUAUCUGCCCUCUUAAACGCCAUAGAAAUUUGUAGCGCUGACUGGUCGCUGCUGCCAACCACCGCUUCGACACCAGCCAUCGCUCCGAGCAUCCCCGGCGCGCGCCUGCGCAACGUGCAAUCAUGGCGCUAGAGGCUGGCGUGAUGGCUAUCACUGUGGAGUUCGCUCAGGACCUGAACAACAAGGAGUGGUUUGGCAGGUGAGCUUUGGGCGCUUUCAGGUUCCUGCGGGGCCAUCCAUUGGCCUCGCGAAACGGCUCCCGCGGGCCGGUGCCUCAAUAACCUAGGGCUGCUAGUCAUACUGGCUGCUAAGGAGCCUAAUCGCCAUGGUCCUGGCAACCCUUCUUUCGCACCGCCCGUGCGGCCUGCUUCCUGCAGCUGCCCCUCCUGGGCGACGAUUCCUUGACAAUGGGGACCGAUAUCGUGGGGCUCGGGCAUUCACCCCCCCUGCUGUUGCUUCCCCCUUUUGCAUUCCCCAGGCAAGAUCCCUACUGCGUGGUGCAGGUGGGUGGCCAGAACUUCCGCACCCGUGUGGCCACGGACGGCGGCCGCAACCCCGUGUGGAACGAGACAUUCCGCUUCGAGAUCCUGAAUGAGAACGAGCUGCAGCUGGAGGUCAAGGACGACCAGCUGGGCCACGACGCCGUGCUGGGCACCGCCUCCAUCUCCUUGGCCCGCGCCCGGCAGCUGGGGGCAGACCGCGUGGAGGCUGCCGUCAUCAGCCCCCGCCACCGCACGCAGCACGGCGUGGUGUCGGUGGCCAUGCAGUGGGAGCCCAACGGCGGCAUGCGCCCGGGAUACGGCGGCGGCGGCUACAGCGCGUACGCAGCGCCCCCCAUGCCCAUGCAGCAGGCGCCGCCGCCCAUGCAGCAGUACGGCGGCGGCUACGGCGGCGGCUAUGGCAAUGCGCCCAUGGCGCAGCCGCAGCAGGGGUACGUGGAGGAGGUCGUGGUGGUGGAGCAGCCCGCGCACCACCGCCACCACCACCACCAGCAGCAGCAGCAGGAGGUGAUCGAGAUUGUACGGCCCUAUUGAUGAGGCGGCGGACGGUGUCCUUGAUGCUAGCAACGGAUCGGAAGCAACCGGGCCACGCCGGGCGCGGCACGUUCGGAAGGCUAGCGGCGGGCCCGCUUAAGCACGUACACUUACUGUACUGUGUGUGCGUGUGUGUGCGUGUGUGUGCGUGUGUGCGUGUGUGACUGGAUGUCGCUGAGGGCUCUAUAGGGUUUGGUCGACAAUGUCCGGCCGGCGCACAUGGACGGCUGCUGGGUGGGGAGCUGUGGUCAUGAUGGCAUACGGUAGUGGUGACGCCGUGCGCUACGGUAGUUAUAGGGCCCAGGGGUGGCAACAGGUAUGGCCGGUUUACUUGGCAUGUACGGUAGGUGGGGGCAAGAAUGGAUGAGAAGCGAGGCUACGCCGUGUGGCUGUGCCCGUAGGAAAAGGGUGCGCCUCUGAGUGAACACCGGGUGCGCUGAGCCCCUGGGCAACUGCUUGUUGAUUUCGACACAUACUGGUUUGCGGCGUGAGUGACAGUGUAACCUUGAUUUCGUUAGUAUGGCGCGCCCACACACGGUACGCCUUGGGCGGGUUGGGCCGGGUAGGUGACGACAGGUCAGCUGGAUGCGUGUAGAUGCGUCCUGUUGUCAGUAUCAGCGUCGUCAGCCCAGUGCAUCAGCGCCGCGGCCGCACCUGAAGCUACCGCCACACCCACUCAAAUGAGUUCUGAGCCUGAGCCAAGGGGUGCCUGCAGGCGCAGUACGGUAUAGCAGGGUGCCCUGCAGUGUAGGGAAGGCUGGUGGGGUCAAUGCAGAGGCUAGCGGUGAGUCGGCGACAGCACUUGAUGAAUCCGAGUUCCCGGGUUCCGACUCCAGAGCGCCGCUCCCGGGCACCCGGGCAGCACAAGGCUUACAGCCAGGGGAGCUCACGAUUCAUUCACGGCAGAAUGACUCCGGCGCUAGGCUCGCAGUACCUGCGGGUGCAGAACAUUGCAGCCGGGGAGGUGGCUGAGCACAGUUCCUGCCGGGAAACUCAGCAGAAGCGCAAUGAACAAAGGCCUGGCGGCAGCUGCAUUUGAUGCGGGCCCCGUCAGUCCCGUAUUUCGUCAUGGAGUAAAGCACUUCGGGGACAUGCAGGUGUAGGCACCGCGGCCCGUGCGCCCCGGCAGAGCCUCACCAUGGAGCAUACCAGAACAUGCGGCCGCUGGCCCCCACAACCCCAGGGUUGCACAGGUCCCACCGUAUGCAUGCAGGGGAGGCCUCCGUACACCGGCGGACAUGGUUGGAGCAAAGGUGCAAUGCCGUAUCCAAGCAUAGGAUUAAGCAAAUGGAAGGAAAGUGUGGAGUAAAUGGGCCCUGCGCAGGGAGGCCUCCCCUGCCCUGGACUGAGCCUGACAGUCGUCAGUCGAAGGAAAGUGUGGAGAGGCAGGGGAGGGGGGAGGCGGACCAGCCACUGGCAGUAGAACGCUUUUCACAUUCGGCUUGCAAACAAAGGGAAGUGUGGAGAGCCUGGCACGAGAGCCUGGGGAGGGGCUGGGGGGCGGUCCAGGGGAGUCGUAACCCGUUACGUUACGUCACCUGUGACCGUGUGCAUGCCGUGGCAAAAUUCACUACUGUUAGCUCUAUCACUCUGCAUGUUUCUCCUGGACCGGCCUGGACCCAAGGGCGCCUAGCCGUUCUUUGCGUUGGCAAGCCGCAAUGCGUGCGGCUGCCGCAGGGGCGCCUGGCCCAAGGCCUGGCCGCGUCGAUACGGGCGUACCACCGCAUAACGGUUUUGGUUUGGUGUUCCCGCCAGCAACGUCUCCGCUAGUGCCCUCGAUGUGACACAGACUAAACAUCAACAUGUGUUGCCCAGAUACAUCGGGUUUACCAGGGUUGCAUGCGUUAUCUUGCAUUCAAAGGCACUGAUGCAUCUUUGGAUCGCAAUAUCAAACACAGGCGCCGACAGCAUCCGCAGCCCCCGUUUCCCCCCAGUUAAAUGUGCCGACAGCAGCCUCGUCUCAGCCGAGCGACUUGAGCUAGAAAACGCUUCAUAGAUGAUGCUCCGAUCACAAAUUGUAUUCUCAGGGCUUCGCCGGCUGACACCGAUGAUGGGGGCGAAACCGCCGUGGACGACCGCCAAGAUCGUCCAUCCUGGCAGCUUUGCCGAGGACGGGUCUGUACACAACUGUAUAAUAUCGUGGCACUUUUAUUCAAACAACAAACGGUAGCCCGGCACAUAAACAGUUAUAAGUCGCGAUUUCAGGCGAGGUAGAGCAAGGCCGCCGCGCUUACCUCCUAUUACGUCGGCUUGUUGGGCCGGCCGUGCGAUAAACUGACCUUGACGCCUCGGUGUACGCCGUUGCGAGCGACCAGUCGUGAGCCACCGGUUGAGAACUACCUGAGUUUGCCGUCGCCACGUGCACACACAGUCCCAGCACUCAUCUAUAGCUCUAUUGGAUGGAUAUUGCGGCUGCGUAUUGAAGCUGGUUUGCAGCGUGCGGUGCGGUGCUCAAAACAUCAUGAGCUGCGCCCGCUGGCCUGUCUUCAAUGCCUGCAUGGCCAUUCUAGUGCUAGCUACCUGCUUGCAGCUUGGUUAUGGUCGGCACUUGGCGGGUGAGUGCCUGCGUUUUUGUGAAGACUUAAGGAUCGCGAGCCUUUCGCUUGCCUUUGUGCUUCUGUGCAAGUUUGUUGGUGCUCAAAAACAGUCGUUACAACCUUCUUUGACGGUGCUUUAUUCAUAACGCAUUGGUACCGCAGGCGUACCCCGGCGGUCCGCUGUUGAAGCGCUUCCUUACGUCUGGGACACUUCUCUAUGUGUCUCCUUCAACGCGGACGACUUCGCGCCUCUGAUGUCCCGGCAGGGCGCGGGUAGGUGUUGCUGACAACCCGUCCUCAAAGACGUCUGACCUUUCAUUCUUUCCGUCGUCGACGCACCCUGCUGCACCCCUCUGCCCCGCCCCGCUGUGCGCUUCCCGUCCCCCCUGCCAGUGCUGGGCUAUGUCACGGUGCGCUCGGGCGCUCCCCGCAGUGCGCCGCGCCAGCCCGACGGCACCACCAUGCUGCGGCUCGACGUGACGCUGGACGGCGAGGCCGACGCGCAGUACGUGCUGGCGGCGCCGCGGCUGACGCGGGGCCAGGACGCCAACGCCACAGCCAUGCCGGUGAGUGAGUGUGCCUGGCUGCGAGGGAGCUCGGGCUGGGACCAUGGGAGGGCACACACUCUACGCGUCAGGCCACCGUGGAUUCCGAAUGGCUGUUCAGCCCGCUUCCUUCUCAGCGCGCUGUAUGCCGUCUCCCCAUGGCUUCUCACCUCCGGCCAACCUGUCCCUGUCCUGGACAGGCCAACGUGUACGCCUCCCUGUCGCGCCGGGAGCCAGACGCCUGCCCCUCCACCGUGCCCGCACACCGCGCCGCCGCCGCCGCGGACUGCGGCUCCCGCCGCGCCAGCCUGGUGGUGGACGUGCCCACCAGCCUGUUCCGCUGCGCCGCCGAGGAGGAGUUCCGCUCUUUCUUCGUGCAGGUCGGAGUGGACCUGGCGCCCGCCAGUGCCGGUGCCGGUGCCGGUGUGGCCAAUGGAUCCGCCACCUGCGCCAACGCAACGCACACCGCCUUCGCGGGCGCGCCGCAGAACUCGCUGACCACUGGCUGCUCCUACAUCCUGGUCACAGCCGCCUGCAGACCAGCCACGUGUGCGGGCGCGGUGGCUGGCGGCGCCAAUGGCAGCGGCAGCUCGGAGACGGACGGCAGCGCCAUCGCCGGCCUGACCGCCACAGCCCUGGUGGGCCACGGCCCCGCGCUGGAUGCGGCGGCCGACGGCGGUGCGGGCGGCGCCAAGCACGUGACUGCGGCCAUUGCGGGCGGCCUGGCGGGCGGCCUGGCGCUGGCGGCUGCGGUGGUGGGCGUGUACGUGCUGGCCCUGCGCUGGCGGCUGCGGCGGGCGGUACAGCAGUACGGUGAGGACCAGGCGUUCGACGUGCUGUACGGCAAGAGCCGCCACUGGUCGGGCACUGGCAGCGGCGGCCGCAGCGCGGGCAUCAGCCGCAGCAAUAGCGGCGUUAGCAACAGCAGUGACGGCGGGGCAGCGGACUACGCCGUCGCGACCUCAACGCCAGGCGGCAAGCGCGCCCGCGCCCGCACGCCGCGAGGCUUCACGUCGCAGGCCGGCCGCACCCCGCGCGGCGGCCUGGGCGCAGUUCGUGCCGACGACGCCACCAGCCUGCUGGACGGCGGUAGCUUCGUGGCCGCACGCAGCGGCGCCGCGUACGGCGCCGCACCCCAGCACGCGCCCAAGCGCCGGGGCCACCCAGCAACCGCCUCAGCCGCCGCCGCCGCCGCCGCCCCCUAUGGCGGCGCGCAGUACUACGAGGGUGGCAGCGGCUGCAGCACACCCCGUGGCGUGGACCCUGCUGCUGCUGCGGCGGCGGCGCUGCCGCCCACGCUGCCCAGCCUGUUCAGCCGCAUGCCGCUGGGCGCCGCCUCCGACUUCGCCGCGCUGACCCGGGGGCCGGCCGCGUCGCCAUUCGUGGGGCUGCAGCUGGACCCCACACCCGAGGGCGAGGCGGGCGAGGCGCCGUGCAUCGGCAUGGAGCUGUACGGCUCCGUGCACGGCGGCACUGCUGCUGCUACAGCCUCGCCGCACUUGGACUAUGAGUACGAGGUCAAGACGCCGCGCGCCAUGCAGCCGCUGGCGCCGCCGCCGGCGCAUCCGCGCCUGCAGCAGCUGCAGCUGCUGGUGCCGCCCGGCUCUCCCGCGCUCUCGGCGGCGGGCAGCGUGGCGGACGCACCCGGCAGCGCCAGCCACAGCCGCUUCGUGCCGCGGGGCUCGUGGAACGGCGCAGGUGCCAGUGCCGCGCCGCAACCGCAGCUCUGCCUGCAGCAGCACUGCCUGCAGGCGGGCACUCCCCGCAGCCGCUCGCUGGCGCCCCAGCACCUAAGAGGUGUGCACUUCGUGCCGGCGGCCUCGCCCUCGGCGGCUGCGUCGCCCUGCCCCGGCUCUCCGGCCCUGCCGCCAGCAGGCGGGUCGCCCACCACUGGCGGCAGCGGCGGCCGCUCGCCCGCGAGCGGCGGUAUGGUGGCUCUGGCGCUGCUGCGAGGCGCCGGCUCGUGUGCGGCUGUGCAACGCACAGGGAGCGGCCACUCUCAGGCCGCCACUGCAGGCGGUGUGGUGGAGGCGGCAAGGGAGGCGGUGACUGCUGACGCCACCUCGUUGCCGGCAGGCGCACGGACCGCCGCGCUGCGAGCGCCGGCGGACUGGGAGUCGCUACGGAAUGGGGCCGGCCCUGCCGCAGUGUCGGUGGUGCGGCCCGGCAGCAGCCUGGAUGGCCGCAAGCAGUGGUAGCGUGCCAGUCGCACAUCUUGGUCCGGCACCAGCCUUGCACGGAGUCUUGCAUGAUUGAGUCAGUGCGGGGUUUGAUUUUGUAAGACUGUAUGACACUGGACAAGUGUUCCCCGGUCACGGGAAAAGGGGCUGAGCCCCUCCACAGUCUGAGGUCGAACAACCUCAUCGCCCGGACAUAGCCGGGGUCGGUUUCCACAGGCACAUAGCCAAAUGGUUUUGCAUGACACUGGAAAAUAUUUUAUGUUGCUAAAGCGCUGAAACGCACUGCUUUGCUGCGGUUGCAACCCAUUGUGUUGGCCGCAAUUUGGGGGCUGUUGAAACGAUUAAUCAUGUAGGCGUCCCUUUGACGCAACAUUCCAUACAGCAUAUCUUCCAAUCAUGUCGUGUCCACUCUUGGGCACAGCUUGGGGCAAACCCAGUAUGAGUUGCACACGGCGCACAAGACAUGGCCAUCACACGAGCACAGUCAUGCAUACAAGCACAGUCAUGCACACACGCGCACGGCGGCACGCUCCGUCAACAAGAACAACAAGCGACACGCAGCUGCGGACUGAGGCCAUAACCGGUCCGCGCCAUCAAGCAUUCCUAUCAUCUAUAGACUGCACGCACUGGGGCCGCGGAGUCAUUAUUGCAUGCGUGUGUGAUUGUGGAGAGCCGCAGCGUGGGUGGCGUGUGACUCCAUCCAUUGUCACCCGUUGCACACCGCAGCCUGCGCGGUGCGGCUAAGGCCAGCUGGGCUCAAACUAGCUGGUCAAGGCUUGCACUUCUCCCUUUUGUGUUAAUGGGAGAUGUGGUUGUGCCGCCCGAGUGUUGCAUACAUGCAGUAUGGUUGCUUGGGUAAUUCAGUAUAAUAUGUCACGGUUACAUCAAUAGUCGUGGAAUGCGCAGGGUGCUUGUGAGCCAGAGUGCUGUCGGAGUGUGUGAGGGCCGCUCGACUCUGCAACAUAUCAGAGCAAUGCGAGUGUUAGUGGUCACCGGGCACGCAGUUAUGUUGCAGACCGAAACCACAGCGCGCUGCGCCUGCGGCUGGAGCUCACGCCCCCGGCAUUCCGCGGUUGAGAGACCAGGCAGGGAAUGGAUGCAAGGCCAGGACCCCAGGGCCCUGCAUGCGGUACUGCGGCAGGUGUUUGGCAGGCAAUCAUUGGGCAAAACCCCUUUCGUGGCUGAUGUUAUGACGCUGAGAUUGUUGAAUGUUUUACAAUGCAUGUUGGCAUGCAUGGAAUGCGGAGUGGCGCAUGCAGGCAUACGGGUAGCCGUGCUUCGGGUCGAUUGUGUUGGAUGAUGUAGUUGUCCGAACUUAGUGGCCUUAGCUUUCCUGGCAAAUCACAUAGAUGCAGGAAGGAUGCGGCGUGUGGCGGUAGUGAGGCUGGGAGAUGGGGGCCCAUGAUCGACCCGUCGUGCAGUGGACCCCUUCUUUCCUACCGGCCAGCCUGCUCCUUACUGCAGCACGGCGCAACGGCGGCGCAUAUCACCUUGCGCCUCGCAACGGCCCUGCGCCAUCUGCGUGUCUCCCCUAGUCGCAUUUUGCCUAUCUGUACACUCGCCCGCCCGUGUUACCUAAUUAGCAUGCUCCUGCCACGCGGCACGCGGUGAUGGCGAGCAUUGUGUUGGAGCUGGUGGGUAGACACGCUUACGUUUUAUGUGCGUUGUGCUGGUGUUGGUGUAAAGAGGAUGGUCUUAGGGUGGUAGGUAUAGGUAGAAGCGCGGUUCAGAGCGCAAGGUAACGGGCUAAUUGUGAUGUGAACUUGGCAACAGCGAAUGACCUGCACAGCCGUGUACCUGGGCUUGGCUUGAGCACAAGCAGUGGAGCCUAUGCGCUGAAAUGUGCGCGCAGUUUGUAAGUUGGGAGUGUGUGUGCUGCAGCGUGUGUGUGCAGAGUUUGGAGGACAGGGCACUUAUCCUGUCCUCCUGCCGUCCGGCCGAGGUCUUUGAUGUGGUCGGUUGAUCCUGUCUUAGCGCUAGCCCUCUUACACCGUCCUGAGUGGUCGUCUGUCCUAGGCGCAAGCUCAACAAAUGGCUUCGGCGUGUGUGGACGCCGCGUUGUCGAGAGCCACGGAUGGCCCUAGUACACCAUGGGGGCAAGUCGCACCCGUGGAGCCGUGGAGGGCACUGUAGGUUACCGUGCUCGCGAUGCUUUGCGGAACUUCUGGGCAGCAGCAAAGCCGCACCAAUUCAUGCCACACGGGGCAGCGCGCUUGCCGUCGUGCUUCUACAGGCUGGACAGAGCAUACACACGUGAGCGCUGCAGACACAAUGCCACCGUAACUGUUUAACGUAUGAUGAUGAUGAUGAUGAUGUGUUACAGGGUUGGGAGUGUCCGUUCCUGAACCUGUAACGAGGCUAACCGAGCUGCAAGGGCUCUUCGUCUCUCCUGUUUGCGUCAUUGUGAGCUUCGUACACACGCAAGGCAGAUCAUCGUAACCUCAGGAGCUUGUUACGUCUAGCCCAGAUAUCACGAAGACACCAUGCCAGCUGCAGUUUUGAUCCGCACCAUUCAUGGUCUGUUGCAUGUUGCAUUGUUGCCACAAGGGAGAGCGCAUCAGGGCAGAGGUCACGGCUGGCACCGGCUGGGACGCAAGAGCCUCAGUGGCUCUCCGUGUGUCUCGUUCCAGGCGGACGAGUCGGCGCCGUUGGUGAGUGUUGGCGUCGUCGCUGGAUGGCGCUGGUAGGCUGCGGGGUGUCCUGGUUGGGUUUGUGCCAGCAGGUGCCACGGACGACACGAACACGUCUGGAUUUAUAAGGCCUGGCAUGUGUAGGACAUUAGCUAUGGCAGUGGUCUGCAUGCCACGUGCCCUCCGCCUGCUUACCCCAAGCCCCGGCCCGCCUGCUGCCUGCCUCCCCCUUAGAGUGCUGGGACAGCGGAGAUGUGGACCCUCCCCCUGCCUCCCUAGGCGUGCAGCAGCCCACUGGACACCGCAUUCGCGGGGCCCCGCGCAAAUUCACUAUACCCCGGCUGCUCCUACCUGGUCAUUACAACCGGCUACCACCCCGCCGCCUGCCCCAGUGCGCCGCCAUCACCACCAGCACCACCGCCCGCAGUGGCUGGUAUCAGCAGCGGCAGCGGCGGCGCCUCCCCCGGCAAUAAGGCGCGCGGCAGCACUCCUCCCAAUGCCGGCAAUGGUGUGCUCGCAGCAGCGGGUCUUGCCCCCAACGCGGCGGCGGCACCGCAAGGAGACUGUGACAGUAGCAGUAGCAGUAGCAGUAGCAGUAGCAGUAGCAGUAGCAGUAGCAGUAGCAGUAGCAGUAGCAGUACGGCCAUUCUGGCGGGCGCUGUGGCUGGUGGCGCCAUCUUCCUGCUGGCUGUAGCAGCUCACACUAGCAAGCAUUUCUCUCUCAGCUGUUCUGUACAGUAGGGCAUGUUCGUGUACAGCAAAAGGCGGAAAGGGCAGGGCGGGUGGACAAGGACGAAGAAGCAGGGGGAGCUGCCGCCUUGGGUAUGGGCAGCGGUGUUCACGGUGAGGAGCUUGCGGCGGCGGUGGCGGCGGUGGUGACGGCGGCGGCCGCCAACGGCCGCAGCAGUGGCAUGAACCUCGCUUGGUAGGCAUGGCGGCGGCUCUGAUGGCGGUGGCGGCACUGACAGUGGCAGCGCAAGUGGCGGCGGCGCGACCAGGGCUCCUAUCUUAAUGUCUCCAGGCAUAAAUUGGCAAUUUUGGCCGUUUCCUAGACAUUCCUCCCAGGGACUAAUGUCUGAGGCAAGACAUUGUUGGCCCGGGUUUGGGGCGGGUUUUGUUGUCCGAAUUCCUAUGGAGAAGCCCCCAAACCGCCAUGUGCCCAAACAAAAGACGGCGGCCACCCGGCCGUUUUUGUCUGAGCCUAGAUUGCCCUGAAAACAAGAUACGACCCCUGGGCGCGACUAACCCGCUGUUCAACUCGCAGCACCGCAGCUGGUCUGCCGCCAACAUGGUGGGCGUUGGUGACGAGUUUGACGGCGCCGCAGGUGCGUGUCAGGAUGGCGCAAAAACGUAUUCGGGUGGUGCGGGGCCUGCGUCAGGAAUCGGGCCAGACCUGGCAUUACCUCGAAGCAGGUUCGCCCCGAUCCCACGCGCACGAAAGACCCGCAGGAGGGUCGCAGGGUACUGCUGUGGCCAGCCAGGGCCCCUGCACCUGCAGCUGCCACAGCUGCUGCCCUUGGAGCGGCUGGGGCGGGGCCAGGGACUAGACGGCCGCCGUCUCUCCUGUCGCGAACACGGACAUGCACACACACUGUGUAUUGGUAGGCCCCAAUACAUCGGCGGGCGCGUACACCUUUUGGUACCCUCAGCACACACCUUGCAUGUUUCCUUCCCUUGUGCUCUCUAGCACAUCUUGUCUAUGGUGCAGUCUUCUGGUACUGGCGCUUUCCAGCAAUUAACCCCACCCAAUGCAGCCGUGCGCCCAUCCAUGUAUGCCACAUCACCGCUGCUAGACGCUGCCAUAACAGCCCCACUUACAGCUGCCGCGUUGUCCCAAGUUAUAUACACAUCCUUGACAUCCGGCGCAUGCUGCAAAACUUGCACCUGCACCUUGGCCACACAGCGCGCAUACUUGCGAGACUGUUUAUUGUUCAUUAACUGACACCAUUGUCCCGUGCCAUUGUCCCAAACGCAAAUUAAACGGCCGCACACACCGCACCACGCCACGCCAGCAAGCGCGCGUCGGCCCUACCGGCGCAGCGGCCCCUCGCUCGCACCCACCGCGCCUGCGGCCGCGCGCGCCACGUCCCGGUGCAGCAGCAUACGGCUGAGUCGGGUGGGCUGCGCUGGCGGCCGCGCCACCGGCAUCUCGCAGCUGCCCCCGCCGUACCGCCCGCCACCGCCACCACCGAUACUGCCCACGCUACGCGUGCUGCCUGCACUGCUGAGCGCUCGCGGCCCAGUCGCUCCGGCCUGCGGCGAGGGGUGGCCGCUGCCUCCUCCGCCUCUGCCUUCACCCACGCUGCCGGCUGAAGCGAAGGAGGCAGCGCUGCCAUGCCCCUGGGGUGAGCCCAGGUGCAUGGGCCCCAGGGGCGGCGGCGGAAUGAGCGGGUGCGGGUGCAGGUACCUUGUCGGUGUGGAGGCGCCGCUGCUGCCGCAGCUGCUGGCGGCGCUGCCAUAGCCGCUGCCACCACCACCACCACCACCACCACCACCGCCAUUACUGCCGCCGCCGCUGAGCCGCCACGCGGCCUUGUCCCGGUGCCAGCCAGCGGGGCCGGCACUGGCGGGACCGGCGCCCGCACCGCCUCCGCCACCACCACCACCACCACCACCACCACCACCACCACCACCACCACCGGAUCGGCUUUGGCCCCAUGAGCAGUGGUCGUGGGGGCACAGGCCGUCGUCGGCAUGCCCCCGGAGGUCCGUGUCGUCCCCCACGGCGGCGGCGCCGCACACCACCACCAGGUCACCGCCGACUCCCGCCACCCCAGCAAAUGAGCUCCGCGCGCGCCGCCGCGCCGCCACAUCAUCAUGGGCACCCGCAGCGCCGCCACUGUCCGUGUCUUGCCCCUCCAGCGUGCAAACCUCGGGCAAGGUUGUGAGCGGCAGGGAGCCAUAGCUCAUCAGGCUUGGGCGGCGACUCGCCUGUGGAACGCCGCCCGCGCCGGUACUUGCCCAGUCCGCGGCGGCGACGCCACCGCCGCUGUUGCCGUUUGCUCCAGUCCCGCCGCCACCGCUGUGCCGGCUCUGCAGCCGGAACAGCGGCUCUGAGGCCGUCUGACCCUCGCCCCGCACGUUGGGAGGCGAGGAGUGCAGCUGCUGCAGGAGGAGCGGUGGGGGCGGCAGCUGCAGUCCCACGCGCGGGCCUUUGCAACCACUGCCACCACCUGUAAUAGUGGCCCCGGGCCUGCCGCCGCCAGCGGCGGUGGCCUUGCCACUCCCGGGCUGUGUGCCAUCCACGGACCGAAACACGGACAUGCGGGCAGGCGCAGACCCCAGAACCGCCGCCGCCGCCGCCGCGAAUGGUGCCUUGCCUGGAACUGCGACCUGUGCCACCCCGCCAGAUGACGAACGAAGCUGGCGCGGCCGCUGCUGCUCGACGCCGCUAUCACCGCCGCCGCCGCCGCCGCACCUGUCGCCGCCCUCCACCUCGGGCGGCAGCACUGGCGGCGCCGCCACUGGGAGCUCGUAGUCGUCAUCGGGGCGCGGCAGCGGCGCCCGCAGCCGCCCGCUGACCCGGCCGCCGCCGCUGCUACCGCCACCGCUGCCAGGAAGGGCGAAUGGGGACGCCGCCUCCGCCGCGCCUGCUGCAGCGGCCGCUGCCGCGCCGGCUGCCAUGCAAUCGCGGCAGGUGCUCCAGGAGCGGCGGUGCAGCGGGCUGCCUGCACCCUGCUGCUGGGCUCGGCUGUGGCUGUGACUGUGCGGCAGAGGGCCAUGGGAGGCCGCAGCGGCAGCAAGUGAGCUGUUGAGGUGCGGCGGCAGCGGCGGAAAGCAGGCUGGCCCCCCCCGAGCCUGCACGUGUCCUCCAUUCCAUCCAGGCGACGAGGCUGCCGAUGAGGGCGGCGGGUCGCCUGCAGCCUGUGGCCACACAUCUGUCCCGUUGGGAGCCCCACUGCCGCCGUAGUGGGAGGCCCUGCGGCGGCUGGCGGCCGGAGGCGGGAGCGGCACCAGCGCAUGGGCCAACACGCCAGCAGUGGAGGUGCGGGUGCUGACGGCGGCGGCGGCGGCGGCGUGACUGUUGCGAAUCACUGGCGCGCGCCCGGGGCCGCCGCCCACGCUGAGGAAUGCACCGGUACUGCCGCCGCAUGCGGCCGCACUGGGGCCUUCACAGUCGCUGUCGCUGUCAAGCACAAGGGCAGGGCUGCCACCGCCAACGCUGCCGCCGCCUUCGCUCCCCGCCCCGGUAGCCCCGGUGAGCCGCUGCUGCUGCUGCUGCUGCCGCUGCUGCUGCCAGCCAGCCAUGUCGUCACUGCCACGCGCCUGCGCCAGCGCCAUGGCUGCAGCGCCGCCCUGUCCAGCAGCCGGCGGCACCAGGCUGCCCACCACAGCCGCCGACAUGGCCGGGCUGCCCACAGAGACGAAACGGUGCAGCGGCGGCCGCGGCGGCGGCGGAACCAGCGGCUGUGCCGUGGAGGGCUGCAGGCCGCCGCCUGCGGGGCUGCUUAUGCCUCCGCAACCACCAUAGGCAGCACUGCUGAACGGUGACGGUGGGGUUCCGGCCGCGGGGUCAAAGGAGCUGCGCGCCGCGUACAGUGCUCCCGCCACGUCCCGCCAGCAGCUGACGGCUCCGUCAUGCGUCAGGCGCCGCCGCGCACUGGCGCUCAUGCCGUGGAUGCCGCCGCUGACACGGACGCCGCCCACAAGGGCCGGGCUGCCUGUGCCGCUCUGACUGGCUCGGCGGGAGGGCGGCAGCGGUGGACCGCCGCCGCCGCCGCCGCCACCACCCCAGGCCGCCGCCGGUGAGUCGCCGCCGCCCCCUCCGCUCGCGACCGAGGCCUGGUCCGAGUCGAUUCCAUUCAGGUGUGGGCUGUGGAGGUGGUGGUUGUGUGCCGGGCUGCCCGCGCCACUGCCAGGCGCGCUCCCGCACACGCUGAUGCGCCGCCUGGACGACAGCGCCCGCUGCAGCAGCAGCUGCGCCUGGGCAGUGGACACCGCCGCCGCUGCGGUGGCUGCAGCCGCACUGGCCGCCUCAGCGGCCGCGGCAGCCGCCGAGGCGGCCCCACCGCCGCCGCCGCCGCUGCGCCGCUGCCGCCGUUGCCGCCAGCGGGCGGAGUACACGUAUGCGCCUAGUGCCAGUGACAGCGCCGCGCCGCCCACCAGGCCGCCGGACCUCGCCGCCGCCCGCUGCUGCGCCGCCCGCCGCCGCGCCGCCGCCACGUCAAUGUCGUCGUGCUCCAGGGCGGGCCCCUGGCCGAGUAGCGGCAGCAUGGGCGCCACCGCCGUGGACACGGCAGCGUUCUGUGCGGCAGCAGGUGCUGGGUGUGCGGUCGCGGGCGUCGCUGCUGGUGGCGGCCCUAGGGAGCCAUCAGCGGUUGGGUCCGUGAAGGCGCUGGCGGCUGUGCCAGUGUUGGCGGCAGCUGCCAUAGCAGUGGGCAGGCCGGCACCGGGCAUGGCGCCGGCGUGCUCCAUGCCAGCGCCUACGGCCCCGCUGCUACUGCCGUUGCCGGGCUGGCACGCGGCUGGCCUGCAGGCGGCUGUGACCAGGAUGUAGGAGCAGCCAGUGGUCAGUGAGUUCUGCGGCGCGCCCGCGAAGGCGGUCACGGCGGCGGGGCCACAGGCCUGCGUGCACGCGCACCAAGGAAGGGUGUCAGGGCGGUACCACGCUUUCUCUCUCUUAAGUUCCGGAGCUCCGUGGUGCGUGGCCCCCCACGUGGAGCUCCGUCGGUUGGUACAUGCGUGUGCAUUCCAACCACUGUGUGGCGCUGCAACCCCGCCACGUGCUUCCCUCACCCUCACUAUCCCUUACCUACCCAGCCUCACCCUGAGCCCUCCCCAGCCCGGCCCGCAGCCCCACCCCCCGCCCGGCCCCCAGCCCACCCUGCCCCCUUCUCCCCCUCACCUGCUCGCUGACGUCCACUGCCAGCUGCAGGAAGAAUGAGCGGUACUGCUCCUCCUGCUCGGCCGGGCCGCACCGGAACAGAGUCGUGGGCACUGACACAAGCAGCGCGGCAGCGGCCGCCGCAAAGCUCACGCCGCCGCCACUCGCCGCCGCCGAUGAGCACCCCACUGCCGCUGCCACGCGGCUGGCUGGCACAGUGGAGGGGCAGGCGUCCGGCAUUCGGCGGGAGAGCGCCGCCACUAUGUUUGCCUGCGGGUUGCGCGGCGCGUGCCGAAUGUUACCGUACUUGAUGGUGGGACAAAGCUCAGCUCCUGGCGCGAUCGCAAUUUGUAGCUAAGCGUUUUCCAGCGACACCAUAAAGCCUGCAGUGCGCUUGCCUGAGUCAGCGGUGAGGGGCCGCUGUGGCUGUGCCCGAGCGCGCGGGGCAUUGCCAGGUAGGGACCCUGGCCGCCACUGCCCAUGCCUCCGCGUCCGACCGCUGCACCCCCGCCACCCCCAGUCGUCCCUCCCGCCGCCAGCACGACGUCCAGUCGCAUCAGGGUGGAGCCGUCGGGCCGGCGGGGGGCGCCCGGCUCGGAGCCCGAGCGCACCGUCACAUAGCCCAGCACUGGCAGGGGGAGGGGAGCAGCAGGCGGGCCGGGGCUUGGGGUAAGCAGGCGGAGGGCACGUGGCAUGCAGACCACUGCCAUAGCAAAUGUCCUACACAUGUUGAAUCCAGACGUGUUCGUGUCGUCCGUGGCACCUGCUGGCACAACCCCAACCAGGACACCCGCGCAGCCUACCAGCGCCAUCCAGCGACGACACCAACGGCGCUGAGUCAUCUGCCUGGAACGAGACACACGGCGACAAGUCCACCACAAGCGCCUCCAGCGUGCCUGCAAGGUGAAGUCGGGACCUAGUCUUCACAUGGUUGGCUGCACACACUGUGACUGUGCCGCCCACUGCAGUUUCAACGACAGCUGGCCGCGAGGUAGUAGCACGACCACCACAAAUCUAUACCCGCCAGCCAUAAUGCACUUUAAAUGCACAGGCAAUACAACCAAGACUGAGGAAUGCCGUAGACCAGCUCCGCACCUGAGGCGAAAGCCAGGCAAAGCACUAGCAGUGCCUUCACACGAAUUCUCAUGCUAUGCUGAGACGCUCAUAGCAGCAAUGCGUUCCGUCGCAAACCCGAAUGUCCCUUGCAAUCCGAGCGGCGUCGCUCAGAUUUCUUCAUUUUCCUCUUGAGUGAAAGACGUUGCAGACAAACUGGCGAAACAACUGUCUGCUAAGAUUUGCGCCAGCUCCGAACUGCAAGAGCCCACCCUGACUUCUGGGCUGUGUCGGUGCCUGGUGCAGAAUCACACAUGAAACUUCGUGGUGCUAUUAAUUUUAAGGGGUCGCGGAGGCAUCAGGUGGCACGGACUUCAAAUUGCUGCAUCGUCCGGCCGACACUCAACCCGAGGCUUCCCAUAAACCGACUGCAGAUUGAAUUGAUGUUUGGCUAUCAAAGUGCCUGGGCGUACACCGUUCUGCCCUCAGAGGCGCGAGAACGAGUAGCUGCGAAGUGGGGUCUCGCUGCCAGAGUGAGCUCGCACGGAUUCUGUGUAACAACUUUGUAACAACGCAAUUCACUUACUUUGUAUACACUUUCAUAAUUAUACGGUGAACUUGAGUACCUGGGGAUCGCAAGAGAGCACAGCGGUUUGUCGUGCCUGGUCGUGCUGCUGCGACCGUCUGCCGCCUUCACGCCCGUAGGAGCUCCCCGCGUCUCCCUGACCAGAAGCCGGCGGUCGCACGCCAGGCCUUCUCUGACGGUAGCAUGCAAAGCACGCCGCCUCGUCCGGUCUGCGGGACCCCCCAACCGACCGACCGACCGACCCCCCCUGCCGUACGACCCCCCCAAAACCCCUCAGAACCCCUUAGUUUUUUGUCAGGUUAUUGCCAAUAAUCGACUGCUCUCGGUGAGCUCUGUCGCCAUGUACAUUGAACUGCCUUGGGAACAUAUUUUGACCGACCGACAGGCGGACAUGUGGACGUGAUGAUGCCGGCAUGUAUCCUUGAUAGAGUGGUCUACUACGCAACGGCUUAUUACAAUGUUGCUUGAUAGUACGAAUGUGCUGACACGUUCACCCAUGCAAAACCCGGCCGGCAUCGGCCUGUCCCUGACCAGCUCCCCAGGCAUCUCCCGAUAAAACGCUCCCCAGACUGUGCACGGUUGCUGAGUCCGGGGUAUACCUACGCGCGCAUCGUUAAGCUGCACCCAUUGCGCCGCGCGCUGCAGGACAGAAGCGCUAGGAACAAAACUUAGCACGAACCUGUGCAAAACCUCGUGGGACCGACCGACCGACCGACCGGCCACUUUGAGGGGUCAGAACUUUGCACCCAGAAACCCAUUUUCAAUUUUGAAAGCGGAUUCGCGCUUUUUUCUCGUUAAGCCCACAUGAACAAGAAAUCUGCCUUGACCUCGCAAGGGAAUAGUGGGCUGAGCCCACGCCACGUCUGUAUGUAGUCUCAGGCGGCAAGCGUCUACCUCAAGUCCCGGACUUAGCCGGGGUCGGUUCGUACAGGUACGGCCCGCCAUGCGUCCAGCCACCAAGCACAAGCACAGAGAUGCCCGCCCAGUCUGCCGUGCUUCAACAUAUAUGCAUGGAGGCGUUGACUUUCAUAUUGCGUGCAAAAGUGACUAUGGUAGAUAGUGUCGCUGGGUGCAGCACCAGCCAAGGUCGUCGCCACCGUCAUCUAGCACGCCGGGUGCCUUCUAAGCGACUCAGUUGAGCCUCACGAGGCCCGUUCGUGGCACAGGCCCACGACCAACCAUCUGUCACACCUACCUACUCGCCCGCCUCAUCCUCCGCACUGCGGACCAGGCCGCGCUCGCCCUCGUGGUGCUUCUCCUUCUCGCUGACACGCGGGAAACAGAUCUGCUGCAGGCCGUGCUGGCACAUGGCGCCCAGGGAACUAACAAAGCCCAGAACCCUGGCGCAAGCACGGUUACUGUGACCAGCCUGUGGGGUACAACUAACACCUACCCAUCCGUCCCAUGUUACGCGGCUGGACGACGGCGGCACGCCCCAGCAGCCGCUUGCCCAAGUGCAGCGAAAUGGGGCGCACGGACCCCACAUGAGGCUGCAAGUGCGCCUUGGGCGUUGCUGCAGCCGAUGCGCCCGGGGCCUUGCUGCGCAUGGGCAGUGGGCUGUCGUACGUAUUAGUCACCACCUCGCUACGACCACUGCUGUGGAACUCGGCCAGCACUCCGCAGCACUCCCCGAGCACUAACAGCUCUUCAGACUUCGUGGUGACCGCCUGAACAGGGAAGAAUGGCGACAGGUAGCGAGUACGUUUUGUGUAGGGUGGCGGCACACGUUAGCGCCCUCUAGUCUCGCACGGUCCUGUCUCCUGUAUCCCAGAAACCUUCCAAUUCUGUGUCGACGCAUGUUUUAAAAAUUUACAGGCACCCAGCAGCAGGUGCACGCCUCAAACGCCCACUUCUCAUGUGUGCACCUAAUCACAACUCUUGCAUGUGCGACCCUCUGUGUGUUCACCGGUGUACAUGGGCAUGUGUUGGGUGUACAUGUCUGCAGCACCUGAGCGAGCAGUGGGUAGUCCAGGUACAGCUUUCCCUCGCGCUCUGUGGCGAAGCUGGCCAGCAGCACCUUGAACGCCAACGGGAGCUUGGCCGGGUCCACUCCAGCCAUCUGCAGUUGGUUGUUUUGCGCGCGUAGGCAAACAAAGGCCGGUCAGAACUUAAGGUGGCUGAGAGCGUGUGAUGUCAAACCCCAUGCAAUGGGGCAUGCAACCAGCGCACGCAAUGUAAGCCAGAAACGCAACCCAUUUUCCUUGUGAAAACCGUACAUCUAUCUGUGAGCCGACCCUACUCCGACUUGGCUGGAAAGUCGAUAACCAUACAACGUGUACGACUGCGCAAUGCGCUGAUAGGACAGCAAGCAAGGUGCAAUGCUCCGUCACGACCACAACCGUACACAGCCACACGUAUGCACUGUACCUACCGGGUCCAGCAGCUCGCGCAGAAGCUUCAACUGUGCAGCAGGCUGGCCCAGCACUUGCAGCGCCGUGCGCAGGUCCGCCAGCACCUGAACACGGAUCACAUGCGGCAAUGGGGGGGUUGCUGGUCGAACCGUCUGGUACCAUCUGUCGGUCAUCGUGCAAGAAGCCCACUCCUUCACAGCCAGCGCCUAACCAUGCUUUGCAACCAUUCCCAUUUUCAGGCAUGCAUUAUGCAAGCCCCACCUCGGGAAUGACCUUUUGCAUCAUGGUUUGCUCGACCAGCUCCGCAGCUGUGCUGGCCGUGCGGCUGUACCUCCACUCCUGGCACAAGUAGGCAAGCGUGGCGAUCUGCGGCGGCGACCGCCAGACCAGGUCGUUCGGCAGCGGCGGAUCCCAGGUCGCGGCCUGGGCUUUGAGCUGCUGCCAAGCGACUCGCAACACGUCGUGAGACACCGUGGGGCUCAGGUUGAGUCGGCGGUGGUGCAUGAUUAAAGGGAAACCGUUGGUCUGCGGCCGUGCACAGCAGAGAGAUGUUAGGCUCUACCCCAAGCUACUGUCAUGGGUGACACAGGAUGGGGGAGCGUGAGGAGCUGAGUGGGGGGCCGCGGCUGGGAUUGUGACGAUGAGGCAGGUGGAAGGGGUCCGCCCAAAAGCCGUGUGGCUUGCGGACGGACAGGCGAGGUAGGAUUAUCUUGAAGGGCUCUGAAACAGCACCAGCGCGUCGGGUCCUGGCACUGCAACACGAACUGCUCACCGGGGUGGCUGCAACGUUGGCCCACAGCGUCGCCAUGGAGCUGCCUGUGACGGCCCAGGCGACCCAGUGGGGGCUGUGCAGCAGGAGUUCCUUGAGGAUGCUGCAGUACACCCAGGAAAAUUGUGCACGUGUCAGCUCCAUUGUGUUGCACGGCUGCUGUGGGUAUGAGCGCAGGCGUCUGCCCCUUGUGCAAUAAGCUUAUGUCGUACAAUUGAACCCCGCCGCCAUCUCCCCUCAGUGCCUUCUCCGCCGCGUGUGAAGCGCCGUCUGGGCGCGUUUCACUGGCAAUUGCCUCUAAUCCUCCAUCGCCCAUGUAAGCAGACGACAUGGUUAGGGAAACCUUGUGCCGACUCACCGCCGCAUGUGCAGCACCGCGUCCACGUCCAGGGUUGAGCCGCGCGGCGGACAGUCGCCCGACACGGGCCGCGUCAUCAGGUAAAAGCUCUCCACCUCGUCGAUCAGCAGGAAGUUCAGACGGUCCCGUGGCAGGCGCCGCAUGAAGUCCUGAAUGGCGUCCGCCAUGACGCCCGCGGAGCAGUUGCUGGGUACGGGCGUGCUGGCGGCGGCAGAGAGCUGCUGGUCGGCUGCGCUCCGCUUGAGUUUAAGGAGGAAGCCCUUAAGGAAGCCACCGCAGCCGCUGUUGCGGUCGCAGUCCAAGCAGUCCACGCGCAGGAAGUUGGGCUCUGAAAGCACCGCGCCGGCGUGCUGCCGGCCACUGCCGCCGCUGCAGAAGUAAGUGUUGGCCACCGCAGGCAGCACCUCGUUGAGCAUGUAGGACUUGCCGUGCUGCACAACGGGCGCAAGAUGGGCGAAAGAGCAUAGCUAGAUAAACGAGCAACAUUCCUUUUGGUCGCUCAGCUGUGUGUCCCUCGACGGUGCUCACGGCUUCAUCAUAGUUCAUCUACCACGCCUAACCUUCUCCCUCCAGGCCCUGUUGCAUAUGGGUGAUACAAGCCGCACACGAUGCUCUCCAACCUUCAGAGUCAGGCCAUUACACCCCACCUUGACCUGACCGUUGAUGAACAGCGGCAAGAUGGGUACGCCGUCACGGUGCAACUCGUCGACGAGUUGCAGCCAGUCCUGCAGCU